GAUCCUAGCUUAGAUUGAACGCUGGCGGCGUGCUUAACACAUGCAAGUCGCGCGUGAAAGGACUUCGGUCCGAGUAAAGCGGCGCACGGGCGAGUAACGCGUGGAUGAUCUACCCAUGAGUUGGGAAUAACGGCUGGAAACGGUCGCUAAUACCGAAUACGCUCCGAUUUCAACUUCGGGGGAAAGGUGGCCUCUGCUUGCAAGCUACUGCUCAUGGAUGAGUCCGCGUCCCAUUAGCUCGUUGGUGGGGUAACGGCCCACCAAGGCGACGAUGGGUAGCCGGUCUGAGAGGAUGACCGGCCACACUGGGACUGGAACACGGCCCAGACUCCUACGGGAGGCAGCAGUGGGGAAUAUUGCGCAAUGGGCGAAAGCCUGACGCAGCGACGCCGCGUGAAGGGAUGAAGGUCCUCGGAUCGUAAACCUCUGUCAGGAGGGAAGAACCGCCACGGUGCUAAUCAGCCGUGGUCUGACGGUACCUCCAAAGGAAGCACCGGCUAACUCCGUGCCAGCCGCAGC
rnacentral:rRNA from 1 species